GUCCAGACUCCUACGGGAGGCAGCAGUGGGGAAUAUUGCACAAUGGGCGAAAGCCUGAUGCAGCUAUACCGCGUGUAUGAAGAAGGCCUUAGGGUUGUAAAGUACUUUCGUUGGGGAGGAAAAAUAAAUAGAUAAUACCUGUUUAUCGUGACGUUACCCAAAAAAGAAGCACCGGCUAACUCCGUGCCAGCAGCCGCGGUAAUACGGAGGGUGCGAGCGUUAAUCAGAAUUACUGGGCGUAAAGAGCUCGUAGGCGGUUGUUUAAGUCAGAUGUGAAAUCCCUGGGCUUAACCUAGGAACUGCAUUUGAAACUAAAAGACUAGAGUAUCGUAGAGGGAGGUAGAAUUCUAGGUGUAGCGGUGAAAUGCGUAGAUAUCUGGAGGAAUACCUGUGGCGAAAGCGGCCUCCUAAACGAAUACUGACGCUGAGGUGCGAAAGCAUGGGGAGCAAACAGGAUUAGAUACCCUGGUAGUCCAUGCCGUAAACGAUGUCGACUUGGAGGUUGUUUCCUUGAGAAGUGACUUCCGAAGCUAACGCGUUAAGUCGACCGCCUGGGGAGUACGGUCGCAAGGCUAAAACUCAAAUGAAUUGACGGGGGCCCGCACAAGCGGUGGAGCAUGUGGUUUAAUUCGAUGCAACGCGAAAAACCUUACCUGGUCUUGACAUCCACAGAAUUUUUCAGAGAUGAAAAAGUGCCUUAGGGAACUGUGAGACAGGUGCUGCAUGGCUGUCGUCAGCUCGUGUUGUGAAAUGUUGGGUUAAGUCCCGCAACGAGCGCAACCCUUAUCCUCUGUUGCCAUUGGUUCGGCCAGGAACUCAGAGGAGACUGCCGGUUAUAAACCGGAGGAAGGCGGGGACGACGUCAAGUCAUCAUGGCCCUUACGACCAGGGCUACACACGUGCUACAAUGGUGUAUACAAAGAGAAGCAACUCUGCAAAGACAAGCAAACCUCAUAAAGUACAUCGUAGUCCGGACUGGAGUCUGCAACUCGACUCCCGA
rnacentral:rRNA from 2 species